GUGCUCGCUUCAGUAGCACAUAUACCAAAAUUGGAAAGAAACAGAAAAGAUUAGCGAGGCCCCUGCACCAAGGAUGACAAGCAAAUUUGUGAAGCAUUCUUUAUUUUA
rnacentral:snRNA from 1 species